CCUGCAGCAGCGCUGUCGAACAUGUCCGAAGUAGCUCCCUGCAAACCGACAUCUGAAUUCAGCAACUUCAUGUGGAGAGGGCCAGUCUGCGGCUGCUCACACUCAGUGUGCUAAACAAAGCCUUUCCACUGCACCGCGGUUUAUCGCAGGGGUCUCCUUCUAUAGAAGAUUUGGCAAGAUAUUCCUGACUGGGGCUCAACAUCGCUUGAAGAGAGAGAGAGAUUAGUCACUGAGGUCAAGGGUGGAAAAUCUAUAAGAGUAAUGGCAAAAGAGAGAAAGACUGACAGGUCAGCCCUGAGCAAGAGGGGAGAACAAUACACCUACUCAUGUGGUGUCAAAUCCACCCCAAACUGCACUUCAUUGUGAUAAAAAUCACAUGAUGUGAUGGUGAUGAUGAUGAGUGAGAAUUGUUGCACCUUUUGUAUUAAAAUAUUGUGGUAUAUUAGAUGGUGAUGUUGAUGUGAAGAUGAUGAAGAGAAGAUUUCCGCUGACACUGACUUACUUGUAUAUAGAAGUUUAUUACAAAGUAGUUCAGCAUCAGGACAAGCACUGCAGUAGCCUGUGAGAGGAUCCGAGCCAAUAUGCAUCUCUCUACCUAACAGCUCUAAACACCAGUAUAUAUACAUUGGUUGUUUACAUGGUUCAUAAGAAACAUCUGGACCUUAUUCAAUGCCUUCACUUUCAAAAGGAAGAAGAUGGGUGAGAGAAAACCCUCACCUUUAACCCCUACUAGUCUAGGUGUCACAUUCUUAACUCUUAUCCUAAACAUGAACCCCAAAGGUUAACUUAAACAUAGGAAACUCUUAAAAAGUGAAAACAUCUGGAAACCCUCAAACAUUCCAAAAAGGCAAAAACAUACAUAAAACAUCCUGUAUACCACAAUAUUCUGAACAAUGAACUUGUAUUUGGUUUGAUAUAUAUUGUUAAAGGUACCUUUAAGAUCUUCUUUUCUGACGCUCAGGUGUAAGCUGGAAAAAGUAAAUUGGUCCAUUUGCCCCCAGGUGACUCCAAUGACUUGGAUCAACUUAGCCUUAAGUUUUUUUUUUUUUUUUUUGUUUUUUUUUGAGAAGUCAUAUUUUUAUUGCCCUCUGUCAUACAUGCAUUCUUAUAAUUUCCAUUGACUGAAAUAAAGGUAGAUGUUUUUAUUUGA